UGUGUGGACGGGAUAAGUGCUGAAAGCAUCUAAGCAUGAAGCCCCCCUCAAGAUGAGAUUUCCCAACUUCGGUUAUAAGAUCCCUCAAAGAUGAUGAGGUUAAUAGGUUCGAGGUGGAAGCAUGGUGACAUGUGGAGCUGACGAAUACUAAUCGAUCGAAGACUUAAUCAAAA
rnacentral:rRNA from 1 species